rnacentral:rRNA from 1 species
AACUGCCGGUACCUUGACGGUACCUGACCAGAAAGCCACGGCUAACUACGUGCCAGCAGCCGCGGUAAUACGUAGGUGGCAAGCGUUGUCCGGGAAUUAUUGGGCGUAAAGCGCGCGCAGGCGGUUCUUUAAGUCUGAUGUGAAAGCCCACGGCUCAACCGUGGAGGGUCAUUGGAAACUGGGGAACUUGAGUGCAGGAGAGAAAAGUGGAAUUCCACGUGUAGCGGUGAAAUGCGUAGAGAUGUGGAGGAACACCAGUGGCGAAGGCGGCUUUUUGGCCUGUAACUGACGCUGAGGCGCGAAAGCGUGGGGAGCAAACAGGAUUAGAUACCCUGGUAGUCCACGCCGUAAACGAUGAGUGCUAGGUGUUGGGGGGUUCCACCCUCAGUGCUGACGUUAACACAUUAAGCACUCCGCCUGGGGAGUACGGCCGCAAGGCUGAAACUCAAAGGAAUUGACGGGGGCCCGCACAAGCAGUGGAGCAUGUGGUUUAAUUCGAAGCAACGCGAAGAACCUUACCAGGUCUUGACAUCCUCUGACCACUUGAGAGAUCAAGCUUUCCCCUUCGGGGGACAGAGUGACAGGUGGUGCAUGGUUGUCGUCAGCUCGUGUCGUGAGAUGUUGGGUUAAGUCCCGCAACGAGCGCAACCCUUGACCUUAGUUGCCAGCAUUCAGUUGGGCACUCUAAGGUGACUGCCGGUGACAAACCGGAGGAAGGUGGGGAUGACGUCAAAUCAUCAUGCCCCUUAUGACCUGGGCUACACACGUGCUACAAUGGGUGGUACAAAGGGUUGCGAAGCCGCGAGGCCGAGCCAAUCCCAAAAAGCCACUCUCAGUUCGGAUUGUAGGCUGCAACUCGCCUACAUGAAGCCGGAAUUGCUAGUAAUCGCGGAUCAGCAUGCCGCGGUGAAUACGUUCCCGGGCCUUGUACACACCGCCCGUCACACCA